UUUAGUCAAAAUGUUUUUUACUCGAGAAUUAUUGUGCGCAUGUCCAACCCCAAGAGGAAGAAAUAAUUACAUACAUGUCUGUGUGCAUAUUUCAAUAAACAUUGUGUCCAGUUGAUGCUAUAAUGUUAGCAUAGAGAAUUAAAAAUGCGUUACUAUUGGACUUAUCGGAUGAUUGUAUAUAUUUUACUUUCACGAGAAGCGUCCCCACAAAAUACAUAUUUUGAUGAAAAAGUAACAAUAGUAGAAUCUGCAAAUAUAAGUAAUGAAUACUUUGCGAACAUUAAUAAGGCGCUAAAUAGAGGACCUUAUUUUGAUACUUCUGCGACCAAAAAUGUGACAUCUCUAGUUGGAAAAACGGGACACCUGAAUUGUCGAAUAAAGAAUCUGGGCAAUAAAACGGUAUCAUGGAUACGACAUAGGGAUUUACAUCUAUUAACUGUGUCUGAAAGCACUUAUACAUCGGACCAGCGAUUUACUUCCAUUUACAAUAAACAGACUGGAGACUGGUCUUUACAGAUAAUGUUUGCACAAAUCAGAGAUUCCGGAAUAUACGAAUGUCAGGUUUCAACUACACCUCCAGUUGGCUAUACCAUGAUAUUUUCAGUUGUAGAACCCAUUACUUCUAUUCCUGGAGGCCCUGAAUUGUAUAUUGACUUGGGAUCAACGGUGAAUUUAACGUGUGUCGUAAAGCAUUUACCUGAUCCACCCCUUACAGUGCAUUGGACCCACAAUAAUCAGGAUAUAAAUUAUGAUUCGCCACGAGGAGGAGUGUCAGUUAUAACUGAAAAGGGUGACAUAACUACGUCAUAUCUUUUGAUACAGCGAGCCAAGCUUUCCGAUUCAGGGAAAUAUUCUUGCUUACCGUCGAAUGCAAACCCCAAGUCAGUAAAUGUUCACAUACUUAUCGUAGCUUCUCCUUCGAUUUAUUGCGUACGUGCCUGAACGAUGCUCAAGCUCAAUACUACUCGGCUCUCAAGAUACAGAGCCGGCUGCAAGGCAAGAACGCAAGGGAUCCACAUGCAAUGUUGAAAGGGGUGCAUCACCAUUGUGGAUGAUUUUAGGUGAUAAUAAAAGCUAAUAAAAAAAACUAAAUGGAAAAGCCUCUGACGAGAUUUUGAGGAGCACUACAAAAUAAUGACCCGCAAUGAGUAAAUUGAAAUUCAGACAAACAAUUUGUAAGGUGAUGACCUAUGUAAUCAUAUGGUAAGCUGAAAUCAAUUUAUACAUACCUGAAGAAUUUUGAACGAAGAAUGUAUUUAGCCAAAAAUGGAAAAUUACUUUCUCUGAAGACUUUUGUUCAAAUUCAAAUUUUAUAUCACCGGCAACCGAUAGAGAUGGAUUUAUAUUCAACACACAAGAUUCUUGAAAAUCAACAGUCCACUUUUUCGAACUCUAUAAAAAUAAGACAAAUAGUUCGAUGGUAAAUAUGUAUGUACGUGGUCAAGUGUUAUUAGUUUUUUAUAAAUUAGUAUUAAUAAAGUAACCUAAAUAUCAAUAUA